UACGUAGGGGGCAAGCGUUAUCCGGAUUUACUGGGUGUAAAGGGAGCGUAGACGGCCAGACAAGUCUGAAGUGAAAAUCCAGCGCUUAACGCUGGAAGUGCUUUGGAAACUGCCGGGCUGGAGUGCAGGAGGGGCAGGCGGAAUUCCUAGUGUAGCGGUGAAAUGCGUAGAUAUUAGGAGGAACACCAGUGGCGAAGGCGGCCUGCUGGACUGCAACUGACGUUGAGGCUCGAAGGCGUGGGGAGCAAACAGG
rnacentral:rRNA from 1 species